ensembl:lncRNA
GGGUAGUUCUGUCUGUCACCACUUCUUCUGUAGUAAGCAAUACUACCUGUAAGUAGGUAGAUGCCCAAAGCAUUGCUGUGGGUUUCUCCCGUUGCUGCCUUCACCCCAGCCACAUCCAGACUCACUGGUGCCUCUGCUCUUCUAUCUGAACAUCUUUGCUCCUGGCAAGAGCUCUCCUGUGCUGCCUGAUUUCUGUCCUUUCGACAGGCCUCCUGAACUCCAGGCUUACCUCCUUCCUGACCAGGGUGUAUCCGCAUCACCUCUCUGAAAUUAACUUCUGACCCAAAUGAGCUGUCAUUUCCCAGAAUCUCUGCAGCUUUGGAGGUGGGAGUGGUUCUUGGGAGUGAGAGUCUAAGAAGAUUUCUUUUUUAUAUAAUAGGAAACUGCGGAGUACUGAUGGCUGCUGCUUUCAGCAUCUCCCAAACCAACUGAUGGCUCACCCUCACUUGCCACCAGAUGCUGUCCUGGGGCUAUGGUUCUGACCCUCUG